GAUGAACGCUGGCGGCGUGCUUAACACAUGCAAGUCGAACGGAACUGUUUGGAUGAAGUUUUCGGAUGGAUUUUAAACAGUUUAGUGGCGGACGGGUGAGUAACGCGUGGGUAACCUGCCUCAUACAGGGGGAUAACAGUUGGAAACAGAUGCUAAUACCGCAUAACAACAAAAAGCCGCAUGGCUUUUGUUUGAAAGAUGGCUUUGGCUAUCACUCUGGGAUGGACCUGCGGUGCAUUAGCUAGUUGGUAAGGUAACGGCUUACCAAGGCGAUGAUGCAUAGCCGAGUUGAGAGACUGAUCGGCCACAAUGGAACUGAGACACGGUCCAU
rnacentral:rRNA from 1 species